rnacentral:rRNA from 1 species
GGCCCCCUAUGAGAGUAAUGGGUUUUCAACAAGACCCGUUUUCCGGCCGGGAUAGUGGCGAACGGGUGAGUAACACGUGGGGCAAUCUGCCCUGCACUCUGGGGAUAAGCCCGGGAAACGGGGUCUAAUACCGGAUAUGACCUUCGGUCGCAUGAUCGUUGGUGGAAAGCUUUUGCGGUGUAGGAUGGGCCCGCGGCCUAUCAGCUUGUUGGUGGGGUGAUGGUCCAUCAAGGCGACGAUCACGGGUAGCCGGUGAGACGGCGACCGGCCCGACUGGGACUGAGACACGGCCCACAGUCCUACGGGAGGCUGCAUGGGGUAUAUUGCACAAUGGGCGCAAGCCUGGAUGCAGCGACGCCGCGUGAGGGAUGACGGCCUUCGGGUUGUAAACCUCUUUCAGCAGGGAAGAAGCGCAAGUGACGGUACCUGCAGAAGAAGCACCGGCUAACUACGUGCCAGCAGCCGCGGUAAUACGUAGGGUGCAAGCGUUGUCCGGAAUUAUUGGGCGUAAAGAGCUCGUAGGCGGCUUGUCGCGUCGGUUGUGAAAGCCCGGGGCUUAACCCUGGGUCUGCAGUCGAUACGGGCAGGCUAGAGUUCGGUAGGGGAGAUCGGAUAAUUCCUGGUGUAGCGGUGAAAAUGCGCAGAUAUCAAGAAGAACACCGGUGGCAGAAGGCGGAUCUCAUGGGCCGAUACUGACGCUGAGGAGCGAAAAGCGUGGGGAGCGAACAGGAUUAGAUACCCUGGUAGUCCACGCUGUAAACGGUGGGAACUAGGUGUGGGCAGCAUUCCACGUUGUCUGUGCCGUAGCUAACGCAUUAAGUUCCCCGCCUGGGGAGUACGGCCGCAAGGCUAAAACUCAAAGGAAUUGACGGGGGCCCGCANNCAAGCGGCGGAGCAUGUGGCUUAAUUCGACGCAACGCGAAGAACCUUACCAAGGCUUGACAUGCAUCGGAAGCAUCCAGAGAUGGGUGUGCUCUUUGAGUCGGUGUACAGGUGGUGCAUGGCUGUCGUCAGCUCGUGUCGUGAGAUGUUGGGUUAAGUCCCGCAACGAGCGCAACCCUUGUCCUGUGUUGCCAGCGGAGCCUUCGGGCUGCCGGGGACUCACGGGAGACUGCCGGGGUCAACUCGGAGGAAGGUGGGGACGACGUCAAGUCAUCAUGCCCCUUAUGUCUUGGGCUGCACACGUGCUACAAUGGCCGGUACAAUGAGCUGCGAUGCCGUGAGGUGGAGCGAAUCUCAAAAAGCCCGGUCUCAGUUCGGAUUGGGGUCUGCAACUCGACCCCAUGAAGUCGGAGUCGCUAGUAAUCGCAGAUCAGCAUUGCUGCGGUGAAUACGUUCCCGGGCCUUGUACACACCGCCUCGUCAAGUUCAUCGAAAGAUCAGGUAAUCAUCUCCAAAGAUUCGGUGGGUCCUAAACACCUCGUAGUUGGCGUAGGGAGGUUCCGUCCGAAAGGNUGGGUACUUGAGCAAAUUCG